GAUGAACGCUGGCGGCGUGCCUAAUACAUGCAAGUCGAGCGGACGGACGAGAAGCUUGCUUCUCUGAUGUUAGCGGCGGACGGGUGAGUAACACGUGGAUAACCUACCUAUAAGACUGGGAUAACUUCGGGAAACCGUAGCUAAUACCGGAUAAUAUUUUGAACCGCAUGGUUCAAAAGUGAAAGACGGUCUUGCUGUCACCUAUAGAUGGAUCCGCGCUGCAUUAGCUAGUUGGUAAGGUAACGGCUUACCAAGGCAACGAUGCAUAGCCGACCUGAGAGGGUGAUCGGCCACACUGGAACUGAGACACGGUCCAGACUCCUACGGGAGGCAGCAGUAGGGAAUCUUCCGCAAUGGGCGAAAGCCUGACGGAGCAACGCCGCGUGAGUGAUGAAGGUCUUCGGAUCGUAAAACUCUGUUAUUAGGGAAGAACAUAUGUGUAAGUAACUGUGCACAUCUUGACGGUACCUAAUCAGAAAGCCACGGCUAACUACGUG
rnacentral:rRNA from 1 species